CUGGUGUCAGCCGCCGCGGUAAUACCAGCACCCCGAGUGGUCGGGACGAUUAUUGGGCCUAAAGCAUCCGUAGCCGGUCUUGCAAGUCUUCCGUUAAAUCCAGCUGCUUAACAGAUGGGCUGCGGAGGAUACUACAAGGCUAGGAGGCGGGAGGGGCAAGCGGUACUCAGUGGGUAGGGGUAAAAUCCUCUGAUCCAUUGAAGACCACCAGUGGCGAAGGCGGCUUGCCAGAACGCGCUCGACGGUGAGGGAUGAAAGCUGGGGGAGCAAACCGGAUUAGAUACCCGGGUAGUCCCAGCUGUAAACGAUGCAGACUCGGUGAUGGGCCGGCUUUAUGCCGGCUCAGUGCCGCAGGGGAGCCGUUAAGUCUGCCGCCUGGGGAGUACGGUCGCAAGACUGAAACUUAAAG
rnacentral:rRNA from 2 species